UACGUAGGGACCAAGCGUUGUCCGGAAUCAUUGGGCGUAAAGAGCGUGUAGGCGGCUUGUUAAGUCUUGCGUGAAAUCUCGGGGCUCAACCCCGAGCGGUCGUGAGAAACUGGCAGGCUAGAGUGCGGGAGAGGAGAGUGGAAUUCCUGGUGUAGCGGUGAAAUGCGCAGAUAUCAGGAGGAACACCAAUUGCGAAGGCAGCUCGCUGGGACGUGACUGACGCUGAGACGCGAAAGCGUGGGGAGCAAACAGG
rnacentral:rRNA from 1 species